UGGUGAUGAAAGAUAGCCAGCAGAUGACAGAAACAGGUGGACACUGUCAACAGUAGCUUCUAAAAAUCAGCUAUCAAGCUGUGAUGUUUCAAGAAAAAAAGACAGGAGAUGGGUGGAUAAAAAAGGAAGAUGAGAGGGUUAAAUGGGAGAAAAGGUGUCAAGUGGUCUCUGUGAAGAGUGGCUGGAUCUGCUCCAUGCCAGACACAGCUGGUUCCAGCCAACUCCAUCUGACCCUCUCCAGGGCAUGGCUGGGUCCCAGAGUCACAUAUAAAAAGGAGAGCCUGAAAGUGCCAAAUGGAGACAGGAAGAGAGAACAAAAAGAGAAAUAAAAGAGGCAAGGUCAGAGGAGCAGGAGGAAGGAGAAGGUAUUCCCUGGCACCAGAGCAGGCAUCCACCUCAGCCCGUGCAGAACUCCAUGUCAUAGCAUGUGGCCAUUCCCAGAGGAGCUGCCACCAUGGAGAGCCCACGCUGGGGCAGAGGGAAGAUGUGAGAAGGAGGGAGCUGCAGAGAGAAACUGCUGAGUGCCAACUGCGACCCCCUAAGCUGCCCUGAACUGGAGGUGUGAAUUUGUCCACAAAGGUAACUGAUAAAUGAUGUCCCUGUCCUUAUGUGAACACGGGAACAUUCUUGUUUUUGUUUUUCCUAUUUUCUUCCCCCACCACGCUGAGAGAGGUGAAUAGCUGAGCAGCUGG